rnacentral:misc_RNA from 1 species
UCUGGCUUAUAGCCAAGCGGUACAUUUAGAGUGCCCAACUUAAUGAUGGUAACUAAAUGCGAGGGUUGCGCUCGUUGCGGGACUUAACCCAACAUCUCACAACACGAGCUGACGACAGCCAUGCAGCACCUGUCUCCGCGUCCCCGAAGGGAACCCCCUGUUUCCAAGGGUAGCGCGGGAUGUCAAGCCCAGGUAAGGUUUUUCGCGUAGCAUCGAAUUAAACCACAUACUCCACCGCUUGUGCGGGCCCCCGUCAAUUUCUUUGAGUUUUAAUCUUGCGACCGUACUUCCCAGGCGGAUCACUUAACGCGUUAGCUACGACACCAAAAAGAUUAGGCUUUCUGACGUCUAGUGAUCAUCGUUUAGGGCGUGGACUAC